UUAACGGAGAGUUUGAUCCUGGCUCAGGACGAACGCUGGCGGCGUGCCUAAUACAUGCAAGUCGAGCGGACAGAAGGGAGCUUGCUCCCGGACGUUAGCGGCGGACGGGUGAGUAACACGUGGGCAACCUGCCCCUUAGACUGGGAUAACUCCGGGAAACCGGAGCUAAUACCGGAUAAUCCCUUUCUCCACCUGGAGAGAGGGUGAAAGAUGGCUUCGGCUAUCACUAGGGGAUGGGCCCGCGGCGCAUUAGCUAGUUGGUAAGGUAACGGCUUACCAAGGCAACGAUGCGUAGCCGACCUGAGAGGGUGAUCGGCCACACUGGGACUGAGACACGGCCCAGACUCCUACGGGAGGCAGC
rnacentral:rRNA from 1 species